GCCUUCGUGGUGUAAUGGUCAGCACAUUCGGCGCGUAUUCGACAGGUCCGAGGUUCAAGUCCCGGCGAGGGCA
rnacentral:tRNA from 1 species